AUUGAACGCUGGCGGCAGGCCUAACACAUGCAAGUCGAGCGAGCGGCGGACGGGUGAGUAAUGUCUGGGAAACUGCCCGAUGGAGGGGGAUAACUACGGGAAACGGUAGCUAAUACCGCAUACCAUCAGAUGUGCCCAGAUGGGAUUAGCUAGAAGGUGGGGUAAUGGCUCACCUAGGCGACGAUCACUAGCUGGUCUGAGAGGAUGACCAUCCACACUGGAACUGAGACACGGUCCAGACUCCUACGGGAGGCAUCAGUGGGGAAUAUUGCACAAGGGGCGCAAGCCUGAUGCAGCCAUGCCGCGUGUGUGAAGAAGGCCUUAGGGUUGUAAAGCACUUUCAGCGAGGAGGCGUUACUCGCAGAAGAAGCCCCGGCUAACUCCGUGCCAGCCGCCGCGGUAAUAC
rnacentral:rRNA from 1 species